CUGGGCGCAUCUUUAGGCGCGCGAGGGGGGUGCAUGGCGGAUACUGUGCUGUUCGAGUUUCUUCACACGGAGAUGGUGGCGGAGCUGUGGGCUCACGACCCCGAUACCGGCCCGGGGGGACAGAAGAUGAGCCUGUCGGUCCUGGAGGGUAUGGGGUUCCGUGUGGGCCAAGCUCUAGGCGAGAGGCUGCCCCGGGAGACGCUGGCCUUCAGGGAGGAGCUGGAUGUCCUCAAGUUCUUGUGCAAAGACCUGUGGGUGGCCGUGUUCCAGAAGCAGAUGGACAGCCUGCGCACCAAUCACCAGGGGACCUACGUCCUGCAAGACAACAGCUUCCCCCUCCUCCUCCCGAUGGCCUCUGGCCUGCAAUAUCUGGAGGAAGCGCCCAAGUUCCUGGCCUUCACCUGCGGCCUCCUGCACGGCGCCCUCUGUACCCUGGGCAUCGAGAGCGUGGUCACUGCCUCCGUGGUAGCCCUGCCCGUCUGUAAGUUCCAGGUGGUGAUUCUGAAAUCCUAAGCCCACCCCGUGCCCGCUGAGCCGCACUGCUGCCCCGGCCUCAGGAGACGCAUCUGGGAACUCCUGGGCUUCGCCGCCCGCUGCCUGACAUGGGUAAGUGCCCCAGCCUCAGAGCUCCUCACUGAGGCUGGGGGUGAGCCCCAAAUGGGAUGAGAAAGGGGACCCUUGCUAAAGAAACUCCCCUGUAGAGUGGGGUCCAGUCACCCCGUCAGCCCCUGCCUGGGUCACCCCUUCCUCGUCCACCUGGCUGAGUGUAGUGUCCUGUGUCUGCCUCUGCAAUGCUGCCCCUGCCUGGCCCACUCCCCAAAUGCCUGCUCCCCCUAGUGUCCAGCAGCCUCCUGGCCGCUAUGCUCCCAGCCUGGGGCAACCUCAUCCUGCAGAGAUGGCUCCUUUAUAUUGGGCCACACUUCAUGUUCGGGCCGGGGGCGUGGGGGGUUGGCACGGAGGUCCACUGCAGAUGUACCCACGCUCAGAUGCCAGCUCCGCCUCCCUGGUGGGCCAGGGAGGAACCUUCCCAGAGCAACCAGCUUGAAGGGUGGGGGAGGAGACAGAGUGGGUCCCAGGUCGCAGGAAGGGCCCUGGCUCUGGCUGUAGGGAGCAGUGUUUGGUCACC